rnacentral:rRNA from 1 species
UGCAAGUCGAACGGCAGCACGGACUUCGGUCUGGUGGCGAGUGGCGAACSGGUGAGUAAUAUAUCGGAACAUACCCUAGAGUGGGGGAUAACGUAGCGGAAGUUACGCUAAUACCGCAUACGAUCUAAGGAUGAAAGUGGGGGAUCGCAAGACCUCAUGCUCAUGGAGUGGCCGAUAUCUGAUUAGCUAGUUGGUGAGGUAAAGGCUCACCAAGGCGACGAUCAGUAGCUGGUCUGAGAGGACGACCAGCCACACUGGAACUGAGACACGGUCCAGACUCCUACGGGAGGCAGCAGUGGGGAAUUUUGGACAAUGGGGGCAACCCUGAUCCAGCAAUGCCGCGUGAGUGAAGAAGGCCUUCGGGUUGUAAAGCUCUUUUGUCAGGGAAGAAACGGUGAGUCCUAAUACGGCUCGCUAAUGACGGUACCUGAAGAAUAAGCACCGGCUAACUACGUGCCAGCAGCCGCGGUAAUACGUAGGGUGCAAGCGUUAAUCGGAAUUACUGGGCGUAAAGCGUGCGCAGGCGGUUAUAUAAGUCAGAUGUGAAAUCCCCGGGCUCAACCUGGGAACUGCAUUUGAGACUGUAUGGCUAGAGUGUGUCAGAGGGGGGUAGAAUUCCACGUGUAGCAGUGAAAUGCGUAGAUAUGUGGAGGAAUACCGAUGGCGAAGGCAGCCCCCUGGGAUAACACUGACGCUCAUGCACGAAAGCGUGGGGAGCAAACAGGAUUAGAUACCCUGGUAGUCCACGCCCUAAACGAUGUCUACUAGUUGUUGGGUCUUAAUUGACUUAGUAACGCAGCUAACGCGUGAAGUAGACCGCCUGGGGAGUACGGUCGCAAGAUUAAAACUCAAAGGAAUUGACGGGGACCCGCACAAGCGGUGGAUGAUGUGGAUUAAUUCGAUGCACGCGAAAACCUUACCUACCCUUGACAUGUACAGAAUGCCGAAGAGAUUUGGCGGUGCUCGCAAGAGAACUGUAACM